GAUCGCUAUGAUGACUCCAUAAAAUUCAAGCUCAACAGACCGGAAUGCACGGUUUCUCUUCUCUGAGAACUUUGCGUGUCGACCACCCCGCUGAACUGAGCGAUC
rnacentral:snoRNA from 1 species